rnacentral:rRNA from 1 species
GACGAACGCUGGCGGCGUGCUUAAUACAUGCAAGUCGAACGGAAAGGUUCUGCUGUUGUGGCGUGCUCGAGUGGCGAACGAGUGAGUAACACGCGAGUAACCUGCCCUCGACUUUGGGAGAACUUACGGAUACUGAGGCUAACACCUGCUAGGUGCUCCUGUUUCAUGGAGGGGGUUGGAAUGAUACGGCGGUAUGGGAUGGCCAUGCGGCUUAUUUGCUUUUCGGUGGGGUAGUGGCUUACUAAGGCUCUGGCGGGUAGCCGGCCUUGGGAGGUGACCGGCCACAAUGGGACUGCGAUACGGCGCAGACUCCUACGGGAGGCAGCAGUGGGAAACCUGGCGCAAUGGGCGGACGCGUGAUGCAGCGACUCUGGGUGCGGGAUGCCGGCCUGCGAGUUGUGAACCGCUUUCGCCUAUGACUAAGCGUAAGUGACGGUAAUGAGUCAGGAAGCAACGGCUAACUACGUG